CCCAUUUUGAAUGGGUAUGUCUACACUACAAAAUUAGGUUGAAUUUAUAGAAGUCGGUGUUUCAGAAAUCGUUUUUACACAGUCGAUUGUGUUUGUCCCCACACAAAAUGCUUUAAGUGCAUUCAGUCGGCGGACUGC